GACGAACGCUGGCGGCGUGCCUAAUACAUGCAAGUCGAACGAACCGCGACUAGGUGCUUGCACUUGGUCAAGGUGAGUGGCGAACGGGUGAGUAACACGUGGGUAACCUACCUCAUAGUGGGGGAUAACAGUCGGAAACGACUGCUAAUACCGCAUAGGACAUAGGAUCACAUGAUUCUGUGAGGAAAGGUGGCGCAAGCUAUCGCUAAGAGAUGGACCCGCGGUGCAUUAGCUAGUUGGUAGGGUAAAGGCCUACCAAGGCGAUGAUGCAUAGCCGACCUGAGAGGGUGAUCGGCCGCAUUGGGACUGAGACACGGCCCAAACUCCUACGGGAGGCAGCAGUAGGGAAUCUUCCGCAAUGGACGCAAGUCUGACGGAGCAACGCCGCGUGAGUGAAGAAGGUCUUCGGAUCGUAAAGCUCUGUUGUUAGAGAAGAACAGCGCAUAGAGUAACUGUUAUGCGUGUGACGGUAUCUAACCAGAAAGCCACGGCUAACUACGUG
rnacentral:rRNA from 1 species